UUCGGCCGACCGGCAGAGUUGGAGCAUUCUGAUCUGGCACACAGCAAACUCGGAUAGGCGAUGUGCGCUCGCAGCCCAGAAAGCCGAAGGUGCCCUGGGCUGCAUCCAAAGCAGGAUGGGCGAGAGAGGGGAUUCUGCUCCUCUGCUAUGGGAGCACAUCACCACCAGGUUGUUCUGAUACUCCUUCUACAUCUUCCAGACCUAUUUGAUUGAUGCUUUUAAUGGUGGAAGUGAGCUUUGGCACUGAAGUGGAUGUCUGCAAUGAAGUAACCAAGAGGACCUAAAACAAUUCUUGGAUAUUUGAUCCUGUUAUUUGAGUUGGGCAGGGGUCCAUGGGACACCGAGGAGAAAUCUCAGCUGCUGCUUUAGCACCCACAGCAAGGCAGAUAA